rnacentral:rRNA from 1 species
UACGUAGGGUGCAAGCGUUGUCCGGAAUUAUUGGGCGUAAAGAGCUCGUAGGCGGUCUGUCGCGUCUGCUGUGAAAACUCAGGGCUUAACCCUGAGCUUGCAGUCGAUACGGGCAGGCUAGAGUUCGGUAGGGGAGACUGGAAUUCCUGGUGUAGCGGUGAAAUGCGCAGAUAUCAGGAGGAACACCGGUGGCGAAGGCGGGUCUCUGGGCCGAUACUGACGCUGAGGAGCGAAAGCGUGGGGAGCGAACAGG